rnacentral:lncRNA from 1 species
UCUGUAGUUCUGUAGUGCCUGCUGUCCACAAAGAUGAGGCCCAGGUGAAUCCAGAAUACACAUGAUACAGGUUAAUGUGGGUUUCCUUUUGGAUGAACAUGUCUGAGGCAACAGAGAAAAUCAGAUGCUGUAUGACCAAUUGUUUCCCUGGACUGUAUCAGCUGACCCACUUAAUGCUGGUGGAUACUUGUGAUGUUGAAUGUAAUAUCAGUGAGGUCGUUGGGGAGGAAACAGUCACAAUGAUUUUGAUGACAUGAAUAUUUAGGCAAACAUUUUCUGUCCAGACUGGGCAGAGGACAAAUAUGAAAGUACCUGUAUAUCCACAAAAAGGGACAAACAUGCUGUGCUUCCAGUACAAACUUAUUAUGUUGAGUGCUCCAGCAAUUGUGAUUUCCACAGGACUGUUGUUCUUCUAUUGUGAGUCCAUAUGCAUGUCACCUAAAUUAUCUGUACUGCAAUAGGACUGUUGUUCUUCUAUUGUGAGUCCAUAUGCAUGUCACCUAAAUUAUCUGUACAGCAAUAGGACUGUUGUUCUUCUAUUGUGAGUCCAUAUGCAUGUCACCUAAAUUAUCUGUACUGCAAUAGGAUUGUUGUUCUACUAUUUUGAGUCCAUAUGCAUGUCACCUAAAUUAUCUGUACAGCAAUAUUGGCAGUAUGAUUGUCAGUGUGGAAAACAUCAACAUGCAUCUGGUGUAAGUGUUAAUCACAUUUAUGAAUGUCCAUACAUGCAGCUGCAGAAUAUAAUAUGUUCAACAAUAAAAACUGAAAUGACAA